rnacentral:rRNA from 1 species
UACGAAGGGGGCUAGCGUUGCUCGGAAUCACUGGGCAUAAAGCGCACGUAGGCGGCUUUUUAAGUCAGGGGUGAAAUCCUGGAGCUCAACUCCAGAACUGCCUUUGAUACUGAGAAGCUGGAGUCCGGGAGAGGUGAGUGGAACUGCGAGUGUAGAGGUGAGAUUCGUAGAUAUUCGCAAGAACACCAGUGGCGAAGGCGGCUCACUGGCCCGGUACUGACGCUGAGGUGCGAAAGCGUGGGGAGCAAACAGG